GGGAAUUUCGCGCGGUUGGCUCAUCUCCUUAAGUCGAGCGGAUGACGGGAGCUUGCUCCUUGAUUCAGCGGCGGACGGGUGAGUAAUGCCUAGGAAUCUGCCUGGUAGUGGGGGACAACGUUUCGAAAGGAACGCUAAUACCGCAUACGUCCUACGGGAGAAAGCAGGGGACCUUCGGGCCUUGCGCUAUCAGAUGAGCCUAGGUCGGAUUAGCUAGUUGGUGAGGUAAUGGCUCACCAAGGCGACGAUCCGUAACUGGUCUGAGAGGAUGAUCAGUCACACUGGAACUGAGACACGGUCCAGACUCCUACGGGAGGCAGCAGUGGGGAAUAUUGGACAAUGGGCGAAAGCCUGAUCCAGCCAUGCCGCGUGUGUGAAGAAGGUCUUCGGAUUGUAAAGCACUUUAAGUUGGGAGGAAGGGCAGUAAGCUAAUACCUUGCUGUUUUGACGUUACCGACAGAAUAAGCACCGGCUAACUCUGUGCCAGCAGCCGCGGUAAUACAGAGGGUGCAAGCGUUAAUCGGAAUUACUGGGCGUAAAGCGCGCGUAGGUGGUUCGAUAAGUUGGAUGUGAAAGCCCCGGGCUCACCUGGGAACUGCAUCCAAACUGGCGAGCUAGAGUACGGUAGAGGGUGGGGAAUUUCCUGUGUAGCGGUGAAUGCGUAGAUAUAGGAAGGAACCCAGUGGCGAAGGCGACCCUGUGGACUGAUUCUGACACUGAGGUGCAAAGCGUGGGGGAGCAACAGGAUAGAUACCGUGGUAGUCCACGCCGAAAACGAUGUCAACUAGCCGUUGGAUUCUUGAAAUUUUAGUGAGCAACUAACGCAAUAAAUCAACCGCUGGGGAAUACGCC
rnacentral:rRNA from 1 species